rnacentral:rRNA from 1 species
UAAUCGCGCAUCAGCCAUGGCGCGGUGAAUACGUUCCCGGGCCUUGUACACACCGCCCGUCACACCAUGAGAGUUUGUAACACCCAAGGCCGGUGGGGUAACCUUUUGGAGCCAGCCGUCUAAGGUGGGACAGAUGAUUGGGGUGAAGUCGUAACAAGGUACC